CUUGACAUACCAUUGACAGGUCUAGAGAUAGACCCUCCUUCGGGCAAUGGAUACAGGUGGUGCAUGGUUGUCGUCAGCUCGUGCCGUGAGGUGUUGGGUUAAGUCCCGCAACGAGCGCAACCCUCAUUGUUAGUUACUACCAUUCAGUUGGGGACUCUAAUGAGACUGCCAACGACAAGUUGGAGGAAGGUGGGGAUGACGUCAAAUCAUCAUGCCCUUUAUGACCUGGGCUACAAACGUACUACAAUGGCCAAUACAAAGAGAUGCGAAGCGGUGACGUGGAGCGAACCUCAGAAAGUUGGUCUCAGUUCAGAUUGAAGUCUGCAACUCGACUUCAUGAAGGCGGAAUCGCUAGUAAUCGCGAGUCAGCAGAUCGCGGUGAAUACGUUCCCGGGUUUU
rnacentral:rRNA from 1 species